GAUGAACGCUAGCUACAGGCUUAACACAUGCAAGUCGAGGGGAAACGACAGAGGAAGCUUGCUUCCUUUGGGCGUCGACCGGCGCACGGGUGAGUAACGCGUAUCCAACCUUCCCGCAAGUAAGGGAUAACCCGUAGAAAUGCGGCCUAAUACCUUAUGUUUUCCUUAGAGGGCAUCUGAUGAGGAACAAAGAUCCGUCGCUUGCGGAUGGGGAUGCGUCUGAUUAGUUAGUCGGCGGGGUAACGGCCCACCGAGACGACGAUCAGUAGGGGUUCUGAGAGGAAAGUCCCCACAUUGGAACUGAGACACGGUCCAAACUCCUACGGGAGGCAGCAGUGAGGAAUAUUGGUCAAUGGACGAGAGUCUGAACCAGCCAAGUAGCGUGCAGGAAGACGGCCCUAUGGGUUGUAAACUGCUUUUAUAAGGGAAUAAAGUGAGUCUCGUGAGGCUUUUUGCAUGUACCUUAUGAAUAAGGACCGGCUAAUUCCGUG
rnacentral:rRNA from 1 species